AGAGUUUGAGGUUUUCACAGUGGUGGCUAUGAAGAGAGAACUCUUCUGUUAGGGAAAUAGUUUCUCUUUUCAUUGCCAUUAAUUUGUUCAAGGUUAUAAUGACAUGUUCACUGUUGAAGAAGUAAGAUUAACGGUACUAUCAAAUCAUGAAGAACUAUUGCUAUAUUUGUAAUUAAUGAUAGACGUGUCAUGCAUAAUAUUUAUUUCUGUACCAAAUUUCACACGCUUCCAAACUGCAGUGGUCAUUUGUUACUGCCAUUAAGCUGAAAACUGAAGAAAUAUUUACCUGGUUUCUGUGUUGUUCCUGUACAUUAUACAAAGUAUUUAUCUUAACAGAAGUUCAUGUUUUUCAAAGAGCUGUUACCAUACAUCAUGUCAGGACCGUCCAUGCAUCAGGUGGCAUUAGUGCCACUCCCAUCUCACAAGUUUGUAUGUUUGCAAGAUUGCUAUGUUGUUAUUACCAAUUGUAGGAAAAUAAUAAUUACAAGGUUUGGAUGACAUUAAAUGGUUUAACAUUCUCAUCAGAUUCCAUGAUAAUCACUCAACUGGUUCAAAACUUCAGUCAGGAGAUCCACGUAGACAAACGCAUUUAUCAUGGUGAGGUUGUGAGCCUACUCUUAGUCUUGAAGAAUGGAAAGUAGAUUGAACCAAACUUCAAGUAAUUUAAUGUGUUACAGGUCAGGUUAAUAGUGGUGGAUAGUCUGGCAUUCCCGUUUCGUAAUGGGACCCUGGAUUCUCUGCUGAGAACCAGAUUAUUGUGUGAUAUUAUGCAAGAACUGAAGAUGAUGGCAGUGAAGUAUAAUGUUGCAGUAUUAGUGACAAACCAGCUGACUACCAAAGUAGGCCCAGGAAAUGAUAGUCACUUAGUACCAGCUUUAGGUGACAGUUUUGGCCAUUACAGCAAUCAGAGACUUAUGUUGGGUUACCUGCAGCAUGGUUGUUAUGCAGCUGUCCUGUUUAAAAGCGUAAGAAAACCACAGUCAUCUGUAAAGUUCCAGAUACUCAAGAGCGGUAUUCGGGAUUGCAGCACAUCAGUUAAAUGAAAUAUACACUCCAUAAAGUGCCAUUCAUAGGAGGCUGUGGUAAUGUUAACUGCAGACUGAAUUGAUAUAUUUGUUUCAAGAUUCAUAAAUUAAUACAAGCAUAUGUGUUAAUGUGUUUGAAUACUAGUUGCCUGUUUUAAUGUUAAGAAAUCAUGAGAAGAAAGAAGAAAUUGAUGACUGUUCAUAUAGAACUGAAACUGUGCUAUAGGAAGAGGAAUGAGGAGGAGUACAUUAUACAGGAAGCCCACCCACGAUAAUCUAUUUGAAUGGCAGCAAAGAAGCAGAGUAUGCUGUCCAUCUUAACAAACAGAGCCAAAGCCAUCUAUGACCAGCACAGUCUCCAUGUUUAAUUAUAUUUUCUUCAGAAACCUACCAACAUGAUGACUACAACAACCAGCACAUUCCUCGUGCUCUCAGUUUACCACUGAAAGGUAAAUCACCUGUAGAAGAUCAUACUUCAGUGGCCCUCUGGUGCUUCAUUUAUACCACUUCAGCAGCGUUAGCAAAGAGCUAUCAAAGCAUAUCAUGACAGUAAGCAUCCCACCAAGGAAAGUCCUAGUUUCCUGUUUCCCACCAAGGAUAAUAUAGCCUUAAAAACAUUGGGCAUAUACAGCAUCUGCUGUGAAUGUGGUACAGUGUACAUUGGGCUGGUUGGAGAUUACAUCACAAUCAAGGCCAAAGAGUACUGUCACCAUAGCUGGAUAUGUCAGCUAGAGAAAUUAACCAUGACAAAACAGCAUAAACUUUGGUCAUGAUGUUGAACUAAAUCUUACCAGUAUCCUCGUCAGGAAAUCUACACAUAAGAAUCAUGUCAUCAAGGGCAUAACACAGAUUAAGCAGCUUCUUAAUAACUUUAACAAGGAAAGUGGUUUCUCACAGAGAAGGUGUGUAAGCCUAAUUCACAGCCUGAAGAAAUGGGACAGAUUUGUUUCUAUAGCAUAUUGACUUGGCACUCCUUUUCACUGGCCCUGAAAAGGGCAUUCAUUUUUAGUAUCCCUGUUAAGGGCCUUUUUUUUUUGUAAUGGUCCUAGCAAGUACUUUUUUCUGCUUCUGUUGACCUGAACAGAUCUGCCCCCUUUCAUGGCUCUGAUUGGUCAGUGUCCUUGUUCUGCCACCUUACUCAUAUAACCUAUCCAUAGCUUAUCCCUGGUCACUUCAACCGUGAAGAGGAAAGGAGCAGGUUCUUCUGAAGCAUUGGUAUCCACCUGCAUGAUGUCAUAACUCAGGGGACCUCAAUCUAGACCUACGGUGUUAUGUUUGUAUCUAUAUGUGUCACAUCUCCCCUAGUUACUUAAGAACAAAUUAAGGAUUUCACUAUCCAAACAUAUUUUGCUAAAACUGUCAAAUAAAACUGGCCCGGAUGUUUAUAUGCAAUGAUGAAUAAUUGUCUUUCCUUUCCUUCCUUUAUUUACUGCAGUUUUUUUUGUAAGGCUUCUGAAAUUUUCUGCCCUGCAAAUAUCCGUUAUUCGUAGCAAAUUCUGAAAUGUUAUAAUUGGUAUAUCUCUCUCUCUUUUUUUUAUACAAAUUAGUAGAUGUUUUGUAACAUCUGGAUCUUUCUAAUCACUUCAUUGGUCCAAUAUUGAGAAUGUGAGGAAGAAAUCAGAAUUGUAUGAGAAACCUAGUAGUGGGCAUAUUUAGAUCAAGACCUUCCAUGUUGAAUUCAUAAUUUUUCAUUUAGUUUAUUUGUAUUCCUAAAUUGAAUAUGUAAGUUUGUGAUUCUUUUAACAAAGAACAGUUACACUUUGAUAUAACUUGUACCUUCACUGCAGCAUUUAGCAUAGAAUGAGUAAUCAUAUUUAUUUUUAUCAGUGACAAGAAUGAGAAUAAUUUUGUAUUUUAUUUGCUGUAGACUGUUUAAUGACCUGUUUAUCCUGGUCCUCCAGAUUGAGGGUUUAUUAGGAGUCAGGUAACAACUCCAGAUAAAAACAUAUUUACUCAGAAACUUUAAUAUAAUGUGUCUGGAAUAAGGAAUACUAAAAAUUAUUGCUAUUUCUCUAGUUUUCCAAACCUCUCAGUGAAACUUUUUAGGCAGUGAAAACCUAUCAAAAGUCUAUUUCUAUUAACCAAGCUACACAGAAGAUUCAGAAAUCGCUGUUCAAAAAUUGUUUUCUAUGUGUUUCACCUUUUAAAAGUAAAGAAAACACUAGAAAAUUGGAACCGUAAAUUUUCACAGUUGCUUAAUUGCUCAGGGCCGACAGAACUUUGAAUAGAGUGAUGCAAAAUAGUGUUCUGAAAGUAUGAAACAUGCUGUGUUGUGUUUAGUUGACAGUUUGGUCUUCGCCUUUUGAUUAAUUUUCUUUUUCAUUAUCUGUGCUAUCAUCGUCAUCUUCCCCAUUUUCCAUUUCUUGCUGAUAGUUCUUGGGCUUGACAUUUGCAGGAUUAUUGUCCACACCAUCCACAGCUACUGGGAUAUUGUUUGCUAUUACCAUUAUUGGUGUUGUUUGUAGCAUCUGAAACUUUUGACUGGAUGUGUUCAUCACUACCAGUGUCCUCUGACACAGCAGUUCAAUGACACUUUGAAGAAAGUUUCUCUGGAAAUUUUGUAUGAACUGUUAAAAUUAUUACUCUGAUUUUGAAAUAUCAGUUAUCUAUUUAGCUGAUCAUAAUUAUGAGAGUAUUUUUUGCUGGGUUGUUUUGUUUCACAUACAACUACCCAAUUCACUUCAGCUUGUAUGGUGUAUCAGCAUUACAAAUGGACAAUACACAAAAGGACGGAAAUCCAACAAGAUAACCAGUCUAUCAUAACCGCAAACCGCUUUGAAGUGCUGUCGAAUCUGAAAGAGCCUGAAUUCAAAAAGGUAACUCGUCAACAAACAAGUGGGAAAGUUAGGAGAAAAAAGGAUAAUCUUCAAAAUCCAAGAAACAAGAUUUUAUUUCUUGGUGACAGUCAUGUAAGGGAAAUGGCGGCUAAACUAUGACAUAACCUGAAUGUGGAAUACAGUGUUCGAGGACUAGUAAAACCUGGUGCAGAUCUAGCAACAAUUUUAACUUCAGGUGAAUGAUAUUGAGGACUUCUCUAAAAAGGAGUUGGUGAUUGUGUGGGGUGGUACUGAGGAUGUUAGCAGGAAUGAGACUGAUAAGGGACUGAUCCAAAUUAGGAACUUUGUAAACAAGAAUACUCACACAAAUGUUUUAGUUAUGAACCUAACAGAUAGACAUGACUUGGGGCAAAAAUCAUGUGUAAAUGAUGAGGUGAAAAGGUUUAACAGAAAGUUAAAAAAAAAAUGAAGGUGUUAUAGAGAUAGAAUCCAAAAGGGACUCAUUUACUAAACAUUGGUUACAUAUGAAUUCAAGAGGUAAGGAGCAGAUAGUAAAAGGAAUAGUAAUAGAAAUUUUGGAUAUGUGGAGGGAGAAAAAGUCUCACCCAAUUAUAAUGAAAGGGAAGGAUGAACAAGAGCUAGAAGAGGAAGGGACUCAUAUUCCACCAAGAAAUGGACCCUUGAAAACAGAAGGAAAAGAAAUGGUCAACCCAGGAACAUAGAAGGUUUGAUUGUCACUGAAUUAGACAAUACCCCUGAUAAACGUAACAGGAGAAAACCCAUUAAUAGGAGCUCGGAUGAAUUACAUAUGAAUUCAAGAGGUAAGGAGCAGAUAGUAAAAGGAAUAGUAAUAGAAAUUUUGGAUAUGUGGAGGGAGAAAAAGUCUCACCCAAUUAUAAUGAAAGGGAAGGAUGAACAAGAGCUAGAAGAGGAAGGGACUCAUAUUCCACCAAGAAAUGGACCCUUGAAAACAGGUGGAAAAGAAGUGGUCAACCCAGGAACUUAGAAGGUUUGAUUGUCACUGAAUUAGACAAUACCCCUGAUAAA